rnacentral:rRNA from 1 species
AGUGAACGCUGGCGGCGUGCCUAAUACAUGCAAGUCGAACGGAGUGGCGCACGGGUGAGUAAUAUAUAGCUAAUCUGCCCCUUUCUGGAGGACAAAAGUUAGAAAUGACUGCUAAUACCCAAUAGCAAGGGAUGAGACUAUAUCGUAUAAGCUGGUCGGUGGGGUAACGGCCUACCGAGGCUAUGACGCGUAACUGGUCUGAGAGGAUGAUCAGUAACAUUGGAACUGAGACACGGUCCAAACGCCUACGGGAGGGAGCAGUAGGGAAUAUUGCGCAGCGGGGGAAACGCGGACGCAGCAACGGCGCGUGGAGGAUGACACUUUUCGGAGCGUAAACUCCUUUUGUUAGGGAAGCGGUACCUAACGAAUAAGCACCGGCUAACUACGUGCCAGCAGCCGCGGUAAUAC